AACCAUUGAUGAAAAUGAUUCUGCCAUAUGAGCUUUGCUGAUUCUACCCCUACCGUUCCAUUUCAGUCUGAGGUU